UUGACGUCAAGCUUCCAAGAAAAGCCCUAUACCCGUUAAGGCAUGAUUGCCUGUACCCGAAACCGACACAGGUGGGGUGGUAGAGAAUACCGAGGGGCGCGAGGUAACUCUCUCUAAGGAACUCGGCAAAAUGACCCCGUAACUUCGGGAGAAGGGGUGCCACCGCAAGGUGGUCGCAGUGAAUAGGCCCAGGCGACUGUUUACCAAAAACACAGGUCUCCGCUAAGUCGCAAGACGAUGUAUGGGGGCUGACGCCUGCCCAGUGCCGGAAGGUUAAGGAAGUUGGUCAGCGAAAGCGAAGCUAGCGACUGAAGCCCCGGUGAACGGCGGCCGUAACGAUAACGGUCCUAAGGUAGCGAAAUUCCUUGUCGGGUAAGUUCCGACCCGCACGAAAGGCGUAACGAUCUGGGCGCUGUCUCGGAGAGAGGCUCGGCGAAAUAGAAUUGUCUGUGAAGAUGCGGACUACGUGCACCUGGACAGAAAGACCCUAUGAAGCUUUACUGUAGCUUGGUUUUGUGUCCGGGCUCUGAAUGCGCAGGAUAGGUGGGAGGCUUUGAUCCAUUGCUUGCGGGUGAUGGUGAGCCAACGGUGAGAUACCACUCUUUCAGAGCUAGGAUUCUAACGGUCACCCGUCAUCCGGGGACCGGACAGUAUCUGGUGGGCAGUUUGACUGGGGCGGUCGCCUCCUAAAAGGUAACGGAGGCGCGCAAAGGUCUGCUCAGGCUGGUUGGAAAUCAGCCGACGAGUGCAAAAGCAGAAGCAGGCUUGACUGUGAGACCUACAAGUCGAACAGGGGGGAAACCCGGCUUUAGUGAUCCGACGGUUCUGAGUGGAAGGGCCGUCGCUCAACGGAUAAAAGUUACUCUAGGAUAACAGGCUGAUCUCCCCCAAGAGUUCACAUCGACGGGGAGGUUUGGCACCUCGAUGUCGGCUCAUCGCAACCUGGGGCUGAAGUCGGUCCCAAGGGUUGGGCUGUUCGCCCAUUAAAGCGGUACGCGAGCUGGGUUCAGAACGUCGUGAGACAGUUCGGUCCAUAUCCGGUGCAUGCGCAGGAAUAUUGAGAGGAUUUCUCCCUAGUACGAGAGGACCGGGAGGAACGCACCUCUGGUGUACCAGUUAUCGUGCCAACGGUAAACGCUGGGUAGCCAUGUGCGGAGUGGAUAACCGCUGAAAGCAUCUAAGUGGGAAGCCCACCUCAUGAUGAGUAUUCCCAUGGCGUUAGCCAGUAAGGUCACGGGCAGAACACCCGUUGAUAGGCUCUACGUGGAAGCGCAGUAAUGUGUGAAGCGGAGGAGUACUAAUAGACCGAGGGCUUGAUCAA
rnacentral:rRNA from 1 species